GGGAGGCAGCAGUGGGGAAUAUUGGACAAUGGGCGCAAGCCUGAUCCAGCCAUACCGCGUGGGUGAAGAAGGCCUUCGGGUUGUAAAGCCCUUUUGUUGGGAAAGAAAUCUUGCCGGUUAAUAACCGGUGGGGAUGACGGUACCCAAAGAAUAAGCACCGGCUAACUUCGUGCCAGCAGCCGCGGUAAUACGAAGGGUGCAAGCGUUACUCGGAAUUACUGGGCGUAAAGCGUGCGUAGGUGGUGGUUUAAGUCUGCUGUGAAAGCCCUGGGCUCAACCUGGGAAUUGCAGUGGAUACUGGAUCACUAGAGUGUGGUAGAGGGAUGCGGAAUUUCCGGUGUAGCAGUGAAAUGCGUAGAGAUCAGAAGGAACAUCCGUGGCGAAGGCGGCAUCCUGGGCCAACACUGACACUGAGGCACGAAAGCGUGGGGAGCAAACAGGAUUAGAUACCCUGGUAGUCCACGCCCUAAACGAUGCGAACUGGAUGUUGGGUGCAACUUGGCACCCAGUAUCGAAGCUAACGCGUUAAGUUCGCCGCCUGGG
rnacentral:rRNA from 1 species